rnacentral:rRNA from 1 species
UAAGGCUGAGACACGACGUCGAGCACCUACGGGUGUGAAGUCAUUGAUGCCAUGCUUCCAGGAAAAGCCUCUAAGCUUCAGAUUGUAAGGAAUCGUACCCCAAACCGACACAGGUGGUCGGGUAGAGAAUACCAAGGCGCUUGAGAGAACUCGGGUGAAGGAACUAGGCAAAAUGGUACCGUAACUUCGGGAGAAGGUACGCUCUCGACGGUGAAGUCCCUUGCGGAUGGAGCUAUUGAGAGUCGCAGAUACCAGGUGGCUGCAACUGUUUAUUAAAAACACAGCACUGUGCAAAAUCGUAAGAUGACGUAUACGGUGUGACGCCUGCCCGGUGCCGGAAGGUUAAUUGAUGGGGUUAGACUUCGGUCGAAGCUCUUGAUCGAAGCCCCGGUAAACGGCGGCCGUAACUAUAACGGUCCUAAGGUAGCGAAAUUCCUUGUCGGGUAAGUUCCGACCUGCACGAAUGGCGUAAUGAUGGCCACGCUGUCUCCACCCGAGACUCAGUGAAAUUGAAAUCGCUGUGAAGAUGCAGUGUACCCGCGGCUAGACGGAAAGACCCCGUGAACCUUUACUACAGCUUGGCACUGAACAUUGACCCUACAUGUGUAGGAUAGGUGGGAGGCUUUGAAGCACGUACGCCAGUAUGUGUGGAGCCGUCCUUGAAAUACCACCCUUGUAGUGUUGAUGUUCUAACGUUGACCCCUAAUCGGGGUUGCGGACAGUGCCUGGUGGGUAGUUUGACUGGGGCGGUCUCCUCCCAAAGAGUAACGGAGGAGCACGAAGGUGGGCUAAUCACGGUUGGACAUCGUGAGGUUAGUGCAAUGGCAUAAGCCCGCUUGACUGCGAGAAUGACAAUUCGAGCAGGUGCGAAAGCAGGUCAUAGUGAUCCGGUGGUUCUGAAUGGAAGGGCCAUCGCUCAACGGAUAAAAGGUACUCCGGGGAUAACAGGCUGAUACCGCCCAAGAGUUCAUAUCGACGGCGGUGUUUGGCACCUCGAUGUCGGCUCAUCACAUCCUGGGGCUGAAGUCGGUCCCAAGGGUAUGGCUGUUCGCCAUUUAAAGUGGUACGCGAGCUGGGUUUAGAACGUCGUGAGACAGUUCGGUCCCUAUCUGCCGUGGGCGUUGGAAGAUUGAAGGGGGCUGCUCCUAGUACGAGAGGACCGGAGUGGACGAACCUCUGGUGUUCGGGUUGUGUCGCCAGACGCAUUGCCCGGUAGCUAAGUUCGGAAUCGAUAACCGCUGAAAGCAUCUAAGCGGGAAGCGAGCCCUGAGAUGAGUCUUCCCUGAUACUUUAAGUAUCCUAAAGGGUUGUCGGAGACUACGACGUUGAUAGGUCAGGUGUGUAAGUGCUGUGAGGCAUUGAGCUAACUGAUACUAAUUGCCCGUGAGGCUUAACCAUACAACACCCAAGGGGUUU